AGAUUAUAGGCUCUCUGAAGACAGGAGCUGUCUUUUACUCUCCAUGUAUUCUCAGCACUCAGCACAGUGCCUGGCACAAAGAGGAGGUGCUGUGGGGUAAGACCCGAAAGGAGCUGGAGGCAUUCCUGUUUUCAGAACCCAUCCAGAACUGGGAGCAGGGCAGCAUACACUGUCUGGGCAAAGUCUUGUGGUCCUCCAUGGUCCAGUUGUGCAGCUGCCACAUGGAGGAGACAGCUGAGAUGUACCUGGUACUCUUUCCUGCCCAUAUUCUGGCUCUGUCAAUGGCCCUUGAGCAUCAAGCUUUUGUCUACCAGGUGAGCCUUCCUCCACCUCCUGGAUUCCUUCCCCACCUCCCUCUCCUGUGCUCCCUGCUUGAUCUUUGGCCUGCGGGUUUGGUUCUGGGGAAUAAAGGUGAGGGGUGGAUCAGGUUAAGGGCAGCUGCUGUAGCCAGGAUAAGAUCUGAAGGGGAGGGGAAGAGAACAAAGCUUUAUUAAGUGCCUUC